CGGAGACGGGCGGACGUGGCGCCACCGAAUUCGGACCAGCGAGGCAGCCUUCUGAGGCGAAACUUCCCCUUCCGGCGACCGCGGACGACGUGACCAGAAGUCCCGCCGCUUAAAGGAGUCCAGGCUGGAGUUCAGUGGCAUGAUCUUGGCUCACUGCAACCUCCGCCUCCCAGGUUCCAGUGAUUCUCCUGCCUCAGCCUCCUGAGUAGCUGGGAUUACAGAUGCCAACAUCAUGUGAAGAAGCUGAAGCUAGACUACUGAAUGAUAACAGGCCAUGUGGAGAGAGGCCCUGAUGGAUGAGAAGCCAACUUGGAUGUUCUACCCCAGCUGAGCUUCAGCUGAAUGCAACCAUGAGAGGCCUUGGCUGUACCAUGCAGGGCAGAAGAACUGUUCAGCUGAGCCCAGUCAAGUCACAGAACCGUUAAAAAAAAAAAAAAAAAGGAAAUCACAGUUGUUUUAAGCAAGUUUUGAGCUAGUUUGUUGCACAGCGAUAAACAACUAAAGCAUUAUUAUCAAAUGUCUAAGUUGAUAAAGGUGAAUGCACUGUUGCAGCCAGCUCACACCAGCUACAGGAGCCAAAUGUUGAAUUUUCUGAGUCAAUUAUUAAACACAGCUGUUAUUAAAAAUUAAAUUAGAGCACAAUUCGCAAUUGCAAAAAUGUAGAACUAGCCUAAAUGCCUAUCAAUCAGUAGGUAGAUAAAGAAACUGUGGCAUAUAUAUAUACAAUGGAAUACGACUCAGCUAUAAAAAAGGAAUUAAUUAAUGGCAUGCACAACAACUUGGAUGGAGUUGGAGACCAUUAUUCUAAGUGAAGUAACUCAGGAAUAUGUUACUCAUAUGUUCUCACUCAUAAGCAGGAGCUAAGCAAUGAGGAUGCAAAGGCAUAAGAAGGAUACAAAGGACUUUGGGGACUUGCGGGGAAGGGUGAGAAGGGGAUGAGGGAUAAAAGACGACAAAUUGGGUGCAGUGUAUACUGCUCGGGUGGUGGGUGCACCAAAAUCUCACAAAUCACCAAUAAAGAACUUACUCAUAAUCAAUACCACUUAUACCCCAAAAACCUAUGGAAACAAAAAAUUUAAAAUUAUAUUUU